UACUAUGCGGCCUUUAUGGAAACAAAAAUUAGGGAAUUAAAAUCCCCUUAAGCUACCGCCUCCCUUAUCCCUACGGGCUUCGGCCCUAAAUAAAAAUCAAACCCAAAAUACUUAAAAAUAUGAGUUUUGGACUUAAUAAAAUUUGGAACAAUUAUCUUCAAGCCCAAUCUCUAAAAUUCCUCCAUCUUUUAUGCAAUUCUUCAUAAAUUCUCGAAUUUCCACCAUCUCUUCCAUCUCCAAGCUCCAUCUGCAAUUC
rnacentral:lncRNA from 1 species